AUUGAACGCUGGCGGCAGGCCUAACACAUGCAAGUCGAGCGGAGCGGCGGACGGGGGAGUGAUGCCUAGGACUCUGCCUGGUCGUGGGGGAGAGCGUCCGGAAACGGGCGCUAAUACCGCAUACUCUCCGCUUCACCUAGGUCGGAUUGGCUAGUUGGUGGGGUAAAGGCCUACCAAGGCGACGAUCCGUAACUGGUCUGAGAGGAUGAUCAGUCACACUGGAACUGAGACACGGUCCAGACUCCUACGGGAGGCAGCAGUGGGGAAUAUUGGACAAUGGGCGAAAGCCUGAUACAGCCAUGCCGCGUGUGUGAAGAAGGUCUUCGGAUUGUAAAGCACUUUAAGCUGGGAGGCGUUACCAGCAGAAGAAGCACCGGCUAACUCCGUGCCAGCAGCCGCGGUAAUUC
rnacentral:rRNA from 1 species